rnacentral:lncRNA from 1 species
UUUUUUUGUUUUUGUUUUUAAGGUCUUUCCCCUUCGUGAGGAAAGACCUUAUUGUUUUUCUUCCGUUUUUUUUUUCUUUUUUUUCUUCCAACAUUUUUUUGACAUGGCCUCCCCUCGUUUCUAUUGGAGUUAUUAAGACCAAAUAUGGACCAUCGCUAGACCUCACCAAGAUGUAUUACCAAAUGACCCUGUUAAGGAUUUCAUCAUCCCCUUUAGGAGUUAUCUCCCUUUUAUUGAUUUUUUUCAAUAUGGCCACCCCUCGUUGGUUUUAAAGAUAUCAUGACCUUAAUUGGACAUAAUGUAGAUCUCAUCAUGAUGUAUUACCAUGUGAGGCUGAAUAGGAUUUCAUCGUCCCCUAUGAGAGUUAUAUCCCCUUGAAACAAUUUCUUUCCUUUGCAUUUUUCUCAAAAAGUAUAAGAGAUAGAAUCGAUUUGAAAACAGCAACAUGUACAGGAACAGAUGGCAAUGUUAAUGAACAUGUACAAUCAUUUUGUUAUUAACCCUUAUAAGGAGUUAUUCCCCUUGAAAAAUUGUACAUAAUUUUAGAAAAAUUGUAUUUCGAGAACCAGAAGUCGUAGAGACUUGGGACCUUCACCAAUAAUCUUUAAUUCAUGUGACCUUUAAUAUGCAGUCAAGGUCAAAGGUCAC